rnacentral:rRNA from 1 species
UCAACUUACACAUUGCAAGUCUCAGCAUACCCGUGAGGACACCUCUUCCCCCGAUGAGGACAGAUAUCAGGCACAGACUCCUAGCCCAAGACAUCAAGCAUCACCACACCCCCAAGGGCAUACAGCAUGAUUAACCUUGUUAAAUAAGCGCCAGCUUGAACCAGUUAGAGAAUUUAGGGUUGGCCAAUUUGGUGCCAGCCGCCGCGGCUACACCAGAGACCCAAACUGAUAAUUGCCGGCGUUAAGCGUGUUUAAAGAUCACAAAUAAUUAGAGUUAAAUUAAGAUCUUGUUGUCUCAAGCACAUCUGCAAGAAAACCACAAACGAAAGUUACUCUAAUCAAUGCUUGAAUACACGACAGCUAAGACACAAACUGGGAUUAGAUACCCCACUAUGCUUAGCCGUAAAUCCUAUUUCCCCCCCCCCCACGCCGGGAAUUACGAGCUAUGUUAAAACCCAAAGGACUUGACCCCCCCCCCUAAAUACGUCAGGUCAAGGUGCAGCCCACGUAGUGGAAAGCAAUGGGCUACAAUUUCUAUACUAGAACACACGGAAAGCAGCACGAAACUGCUGCUAGAAGGCGGAUUUAGUAGUAAGAAGAAAGUAUAGAGUUCCUCUUAAUCCGGACUGGGUGCGUACAAACCGCCCGUCACCCUCUUCAACGCCUCCCCCCACCUCCCUAAACAAUAUUAGCCCCCAAGAAGAGGUAAGUCGUAACAUGGUAAGUAUACUGGAAAGUGUACUUGGAACAC